GCGCCGUUGGUUUAGUGGUAAAAUAUCUCGUUGCCAACGAGAUAGAUGCCCCGGGUUCGAUUCCCGGACGGCGCA
rnacentral:tRNA from 1 species